ensembl:misc_RNA 7SK 7SK RNA
GGACGUGAGGGCGAUCUAGCUGCGACAUCUGUCACCCCGUUGAUCGCCGGGGUUGAUUCGGCUGAUCUGGCUGGCUAGGCGGGUGUCCCCUUCCUCCCUCACCGCUCCAUGUGCGUCCCUCCCGAAGCUGCGCGCUUGGUGGAAGAGGACAACCUUCCCCGAGAGAGGAGAGGAGCGUUCUUUGGUCAAGGGUAUACGAGUAGCUGCGCUCCCCUGCUAGAACCUCCAAACAAGCUCUCAAGAAAUUAUAUUACAUAGCACAAAAUAAACUAAAGGGAGAAGGGCCUUCCCACAGAUACUUGCAAACACUUAGUAAAAAACCCAAGACACAAAUGUGUAUGUUAAUAUAA